rnacentral:rRNA from 1 species
AAGCUCGUAGUUGAAUUUCGGGGUUAGUAGGUUGGUCAUGCCUCUGGUAUGUACUGGUCUCACUGAUUCCUCCUUCCUUAUGAGCCGUAAUGCCAUUAAUUUGGUGUUGCGGGGAAUUUGGACUGUUACUUUGAAAAAAUUAGAGUGUUUAAAGCAAGCUAACGCUUGAAUACAUUAGCAUGGAAUAAUGAAAUAGGACGUUCGAUCUUAUUUUGUUGGUUUCUAGGAUUGACGUAAUGAUUAAUAGGGAUAGUUGGG